AGACCACCAAAAGGCAUCAAGAUGGUGAAGCAACUGAGAAAACACACAGUCUGUUUCAGAAUGUUGAGCCAUCAACCUCUACUGCUGAACCAAAUAUAGUGAAAACUUGCGUGAAGAUUUGCCAUCAUCAGUCCAGGUUCAAAUGUAGAAAGAAGAUAAGAAGGCCCAAGGUGCCUACCAAGAUGUGCAAGAAAACCCUGUGAAUGGUGCUGAAAAGAAGGACAUCUGCAAACAAUAUACCAGCAAAAAAGAUGUUUUGAUGUAUGAUUGAGAAUGCCGGUAGAAUCAGCAUACCACCUAAACAUGGUGUGGCAUCUGAGCAAUGGCCAACUGUGUAGAGACUGUGUAGUUACUACACAGUGUUUUGACUCUGAAAAUAAAAUCAAUCUGAUAUGAAAA
rnacentral:lncRNA from 1 species